AGGUUUUUCGCAUCGGGCGCACCCCGACCCCGCCACGCCGCGUGGUGAUGAAGGCCUUCGGGUUUUAAACCCCUUUUUGGCCGGGACAAAAAAGCGCGUCCGCGAUUUCUUGGGGGGUACCUGUGUCAAUAAGCCACAGGCUCACUACUAGCCCGCGCCCGCGGUAAUAAGAAAAA
rnacentral:rRNA from 1 species